GCCAGGGUCUGCGGGACAGACCCGGCACUCAUGAAACUGAGACAAGAGGAUCACUUGAGCCCAGGAGUUCUGGGCUGUAAUGCACUAUGCUGAUUGGGUGCCUACAUUUAGUUUAACAUUAAUAUGGUGACCUUCUGGGAGCGGGGGACCACCAGGUUGCCUAAGGAGUGGUGAAUUGGCCCAGGUUAGAAACAGAGCAGGUCAAAACUCCUGUGCUGAUCAGCAGUGGGAUCAUGCCUGUGAAUAACCACUGUGCUCCUGCCUAGGCAACAUAGUGAGACCCCAUCUCU
ensembl:misc_RNA Metazoa_SRP Metazoan signal recognition particle RNA